AUUCAAAUAGCUUAUAUUUAGAGUAUGACACUGAAGAUGUCAUGGAGAUUAAUUAAUCUUUGAAUA
rnacentral:tRNA from 1 species